rnacentral:rRNA from 1 species
AUACGAAGGCGGCUAGCGUUGUUCGGAAUCACUGGGCGUAAAGCGCGCGUAGGUGGAUCAAUUAGUUGAGGGUGAAAUCCCGGGGCUCAACCUCGGAACUGCCUUCAAUACUGUUGAUCUUGAGACCGAGAGAGGUGAGUGGAAUUCCUAGUGUAGAGGUGAAAUUCGUAGAUAUUAGGAAGAACACCAGUGGCGAAGGCGGCUCACUGGCUCGGUACUGACGCUGAGGUGCAAAAGCGUGGGGAGCAAACAGGAUUAGAAACCCUAGUAGUCC